rnacentral:rRNA from 1 species
CCCGGUGGUCUUAGCGAGAGGGUCACACCCGUUCCCAUCCCGAACACGGCAGUUAAGCCUCUCAGCGACGGAAGUAGUUGGUCCGCAGGGGCCUGCCAGAUAAGUGCAUCGCCGGGU